CGCGAUUCGCCCUUCGGGGUGCAGCAGGCGCGAAAACUUUGCAAUGCGGGAAACCGUGACAAGGGAACUCUGAGUGCCCGUUAAAUCGGGCUGUCCAUCGGUUUAAAUAACCGGUGAAGAAAGGGCCGGGCAAGACCGGUGCCAGCCGCCGCGGUAAUACCGGCGGCUCGAGUGGUGGCCACUAUUACUGGGCUUAAAGCGUUCGUAGCUGGUUUGUUAAGUCUCUGGGGAAAUCUUCCGGCUUGACCGGAAGGCGUCUCAGGGAUACUGGCAGACUAGGGACCGGGAGAGGUGAGAGGUACUCCAGGGGUAGGAGUGAAAUCCUGUAAUCCUUGGGGGACCACCUGUGGCGAAGGCGUCUCACCAGAACGGCUCCGACAGUGAGGGACGAAAGCUGGGGGAGCAAACCGGAUUAGAUACCCGGGUAGUCCCAGCUGUAAACGAUGUGCGUUAGGUGUAUCGGUGACCACGAGUCACCGAGGUGCCGAAGAGAAAUCGUGAAACGUACCGCCUGGGAAGUACGGUCGCAAGGCUGAAACUUAAAGGAAUUGGCGGGGGAGCAC
rnacentral:rRNA from 1 species